rnacentral:ncRNA from 2 species
AAUAUUGUAAGCAAAAACCUUCAUAUAUCCUCGAUAAUAUGGUUCGAAAGUUUCUACCAAAUCACCGUAAAUGAUUUGACUAUGAAGGCAGAUGAUUCUAUA